rnacentral:rRNA from 1 species
UACGGAGGGUGCAAGCGUUAUCCGGAUUCACUGGGUUUAAAGGGUGCGUAGGUGGGUUGGUAAGUCCGUGGUGAAAUCUCCGAGCUUAACUCGGAAACUGCCGUGGAUACUAUCAAUCUUGAAUAUCGUGGAGGUAAGCGGAAUAUGUCAUGUAGCGGUGAAAUGCUUAGAUAUGACAUAGAACACCGAUAGCGGAGGCAGCUUGCUACACGACCAUUGACACUGAGGCACGAAAGCGUGGGGAGCAAACAGG